GGCGGCGGUACUGCGGCGGCGAGUUGGUGCCUGAGGUACGCGGCAGGGCGGCUGCAAGGCGCGUGCAACCCGCAGGCGGUUGCAAAGGCGACUGAGUUUGCAUUGGCAGCAGUAGAGCGCCGAGACCCGGAGGAGGCGGAGGACGAGUCCCGCACGCCGCCUGCUGCUUCCGCCCCGGCUCUUGCUGUCAGGGCUGCGGGGAGGGAGCAGCCGUCGCCGAGGCGGCCAUUCCGCUUCCUCCUCCUCCCCGCUGCAGCCGCGGCUGCGUCCUGUCAGCGCUGUUGCUAGGUGUGGAGGCGAGGAUGGCGCGCGCGCUGGCUCGCUCUCCCUUCCUCCCGACCAGCCCCGGGCCAGCUUCGAUGCACCAGAGGCGACUGUCUGGGAAGGCCGGACGGACAAGGCUUGGAGGGCCCUGGCUGCGGGGGUAGAGGUUAAGUGGCUGCAGCAGGGGAAGUGAAGGUCUCUGUGGGACUUGCCGGUUGGCGUAGUUUCAUCGUGGUCGUGCGGGACACGCGAAGCUGCUUGGGCGUGGGGAGUUCACGGAGGAACCCCCGGAGGAGCGCCGCCUCGCCUGGUUCCCGGCGAUUUCCAUUGGGAGUCAAGCUGGGCCUCUAAGCAAAGUCCUCCUGAACUGUGGAGAUAGUUGUUGGUAUUCACCUGGUGUCAGGGGUCAGCAUCAUUUGUCACCUGUUAAGGCCUAUGUCCUGGCAGGGGACCUACCACCUACUGGCACCACUCCACCCCUCCUGAAAUUUCUCCUGCUACUCCUUGCCAUCGCCAGCUGUGUCUCCCUGUCUGCUCAUUUCCUCACCCGUUUCCGGUCCAUUGUAUAAAUGCUAUUUCUUUAAUGUAGUGAUUUGGUGUACAGCCUAAGGGCAGCAUAAGGAUGGCCAAUAAUCUUGUGUGUGAUAUUGAUGUAUUGGUAUUGUGAAUUUUUUUGAUUAUUUACGAUAUACUAUAAGGCAAUAUGUUGUAAUGUACAAUAAAAUUUGAUUCAAGA